rnacentral:misc_RNA from 1 species
GAUGAAGAACGUAGCGAAAUGCGAUAAGUAAUGUGAAUUGCAGAAUUCCGUGAAUCAUCGAAUCUUUGAACGCAUAUUGCGCCCCCUGGUAUUCCGGGGGGCAUGCCUGUCCGAGCGUCAUUGCUGCCCUCAAGCACGGCUUGUGUGUUGGGCCUCCGUCCUCCUCCCGGGGGACGGGCCCGAAAGGCAGCGGCGGCACCGCGUCCGGUCCUCGAGCGUAUGGGGCUUCGUCACCCGCUCUUGUAGGCCCGGCCGGCGCUUGCCGAAACAUCAAUCUUUUUUCCAGGUUGACCUCGGAUCAGGUAGGGAUACCCGCUGAACUUAAGCAUAUCAAUAAGCGGAGGA